rnacentral:rRNA from 1 species
UUGAACGCUGGCGGCAUGCCCUACACAUGCAAGUCGAACGGUAGAGGGGCAACCCUUGAGAGUGGCGAACGGGUGAGUAAUAUAUCGGAACGUGCCCAGUCGUGGGGGAUAACGCAGCGAAAGCUGCGCUAAUACCGCAUACGAUCUAUGGAUGAAAGCGGGGGAUCGCAAGACCUCGCGCGAUUGGAGCGGCCGAUAUCAGAUUAGGUAGUUGGUGGGGUAAAAGC